rnacentral:rRNA from 1 species
GAUGAACGCUGGCGGCGUGCCUAAUACAUCAAGUCGAGCGAACGGACGAGAAGCUUGCUUCUCUGAUGUUAGCGGCGGACGGGUGAGUAACACGUGGAUAACCUACCUAUAAGACUGGGAUAACUUCGGGAAACCGUAGCUAAUACCGGAUAAUAUUUUGAACCGCUUGGUUCAAAAGUGAAAGACGGUCUUGCUGUCACUUAUAGAUGGAUCCGCGCUGCAUUAGCUAGUUGGUAAGGUAACGGCUUACCAAGGCAACGAUGCAUAGCCGACCUGAGAGGGUGAUCGGCCACACUGGAACUGAGACACGGUCCAGACUCCUACGGGAGGCAGCAGUAGGGAAUCUUCCGCAAUGGGCGAAAGCCUGACGGAGCAACGCCGCGUGAGUGAUGAAGGUCUUCGGAUCGUAAAACUCUGUUAUUAGGGAAGAACAUAUGUGUAAGUAACUGUGCACAUCUUGACGGUACCUAAUCAGAAAGCCACGGCUAACUAGGUG